UAGGGAAUCUUCCGCAAUGGACGAAAGUCUGACGGAGCAACGCCGCGUGAGUGACGAAGGUCUUCGGAUCGUAAAGCUCUGUUGCCAAGGAAGAAAGACACGGUGAGGGAAUGCACCGUGCGUGACGGUACUUGAGAAGAAAGCCCCGGCUAACUACGUGCCAGCAGCCGCGGUAAUACGUAGGGGGCAAGCGUUGUCCGGAAUUAUUGGGCGUAAAGCGCGCGCAGGCGGUGUGUUAAGUCUGAUGUGAAAGGCAGUGGCUCAACCAUUGUAAGCAUUGGAAACUGACAGACUAGAGUGCAGCAGAGGAAAGUGGAAUUCCACGUGUAGCGGUGAAAUGCGUAGAGAUGUGGAGGAACACCAGUGGCGAAGGCGACUUUCUGGGCUGUAACUGACGCUG
rnacentral:rRNA from 1 species